rnacentral:rRNA from 1 species
GACGAACGCUGGCGGCGUGCUUAACACAUGCAAGUCGAACGGGGUAUGCGAGGAGCUUGCUUUGAGCAUACUUAAGUGGCGGACGGGUGAGUAACACGUGGGUAACCCUGCCCAUAAGAGGGGGAUAACAUCCGGAAACGGGUGCUAAUACCGCAUGGUUUCUGAUCGCAUGAUUGAGAAAGGAAGGCGCCUUUGUGCUGUCGCUUAUGGAUGGACCCG